UGUAACAGUAUCAAACCUACUAACACAAUCCUUCUAUACAAUAGAUAAAGAGCAGAAUACACGUUUACAAUAAUCAACACCAAUUAUUUAUUUUACAAUCCAGUCCUGGUUUUCGUUAGUCCCUUUCGUUUACAGUCCGACCCGACCAACACAAAUAAUCCGCUCCAUGUUUUCCAACCAAUCCCACCAAAGGAAAGAUCCCAACAAGGAAGUGGGUUUCGACUGUUCAUUCAGUUCCAAAGAAACACAUAAUCUAAAGAAAAGCGCUGCCGUCCGGUUUGGAACGGAGGAUGAAACAUAAACGAUAGAAAAGAACGUAAACCAAACUCACAGGUCCUCGUUGUUUCACGUAUGCGGCGGAGAUGCUUGUGCCGCAGCUGGGCGUCCUCCAAGGAAAGUCCGGCUUGUGCCGGCAAUCGGUAGCCGGUGACUGUGGAGAACUUGUUGGGUUCCAGUGGGGAGGCCAACACCAUCCACUAACUCUCGCUGACUCCUCCGCCAUACUGCUUUGGAGGCCGGAAGAUAUCAGGAAGUCGCAGGGCCGGCUCUCCCAGCGCCCGGAAAAGCAACCAUCUUACUGGCUGGAAAUGCAGAUCGGCUGAUGGGGCGUGGAGGUCAGGAGAGCUGGAAGGAGUAGUUGGGAAUCCAAAGAACUCCUCAUCCUCUGUCUCCUCCUCAAAUAUUCCCUGCAGUUGAUGGCGCUGCAGCUCAUCCAUGUCUUCAGCCGUCGGAUAGCAAGGUUUGAGGCGGGAGAUAUGCACAUUUCGACGGUCUUCCCCGCUGUCUUCAAGAACCACCUCAUAGUUAAGAGGUCCAGUCUGCUGGAGGACGCGAUAGGGACCCUGCCAUUUCGGAGCGAGCUUUGCAAUGAAUGAUUUUUCUGCCUUGGACAUGGGAUGAGCGCGUAGCCAGACUCUGUCCCUUUCUUCAAAACUCAUAUCCCUACGGUGUUUGUCGUAAUUUCUUUUCUGUCGCUUACGGGCCAGAAAAAGGUUUUUAGAGACAAAGGCCUUCAGAUCAUUGAGCUGGGAGAUUUUAGAGUAGACUGCAGAGUCAGGGACAGCAUCUUGUGGCUGCAGCACUACGUCCAGUGGUCCCCUCAGCGGUCGACAGAUUGAGUUCAGCCGGGGUGACGCCUGUGGAUUCAUGUACGGCUGAGUUUAAAGCAAACCUGAACUCUGGAAGAUGCUUAUCCCAGUGUUUGUGCUGAGAACCCACAAAAGAUGCUAUCAUGGUUUUUAGAGUGGCUUGGAAGAUGGAGGAUAUGAACUGGGAGCCUCGGUCCGAGAGGAUGUAAUCUGGUAUACCCCACCUAGUGAAAAUUUCUUGGGUGAGAAUGCGCGAGAUAGACUCAGCUGUUGCUGUCCUCAGGGGAAAAAACUCC